UACGUAGGGCGCAAGCGUUGCCCGGAACUAUUGGGCGUAAAGAGCUCGUAGGCGGCUUGUCACGUCGGGUGUGAAAGCCCGGGGCUUAACCCCGGGUCUGCAUUCGAUACGGGCUAGCUAGAGUGUGGUAGGGGAGAUCGGAAUUCCUGGUGUAGCGGUGAAAUGCGCAGAUAUCAGGAGGAACACCGGUGGCGAAGGCGGAUCUCUGGGCCUUACCUGACGCUGAGGCGCGAAAGCUAGGGGAGCGAACAGG
rnacentral:rRNA from 1 species